AUUGGAAAUCUGAGGCAAUUUGAGAGGUAUGUGAGGUACUACCACAUUGUAUAAGAAAAGUGAAUUUCAAAUUUUCCAAUUUAUAAAUAAGUAGGUAUAGUCGCCAUAUCAAAUUAAAACUACUUUUUUUUAUUAUUAUUAUUAAGGAAAAACAAAUUGGUAUAAUGGAAUUAUUAAAUAAGUGAUUGUGUGAAACAUUUUUGCAGCAAAAUACACUUCAGGAAACUGUAAAUGAAGUGAAGAAUAAAAAGAACACACAGUUCCAUGGUUACAAUUGCAUUCUACAUUUUUCUGGUUUCCUGUGUAAUGUUUCAAGAGCACCUCAAACAAAAUGUUUUUUGAGAAACUGGAAUUAUCUUGUAGAAUUGGGCAGCAGUGCCACUGAGAGUGGUCAGAUCACUCUCGACCAGUCAGUGACUCCCUAUUCAAUUAACUGGCUUGAAUAGGACAUGUGUUUUUCAAGCCAGUUUUAUAAAUGGGGGGUCACCGACUGGCUGAAAGCAUCAGCUAACCUCUCUCGGCCAAUCUGUUGUGCCACUGUUCAAUUAUGCAAAAGUCUUACUGUUUCCCGAUUUAGAAAAGAGGUAAGGACAGAGAGAUUGGCUCUGGAACACAGAAUUUGAGGUUGAACUGUUCAAGAACAGUUGAACUCUUGAGGUGAGCAGCGCCUUCAAGAUCUGGAAUUUCAUUUUUUAUUUUAUUUACUUCCAGUUGUAAGUAAACUACCUGUUUGUGAUCAGUACUUUGAGUUCUAAAUUCAAUUCAACAGAGAUACCAAAGGGAAACAUUACUUAAUACAAGACAAAUUAUCUUAUAAAAAAGAGUUGAUAUGAUUAUCAUAGAGACAUUGAAUUCCUCAGAAUAAAGAGCUAAUCGCUUUAUUUGCAGGUAUUUUAAAAGUAAUCUGUGUCAAACAGUAGUUUAAAGUACUAAAAUUAGGGCAAUGAACAUGGAAAGGAACAGUCACAUUCCAUUGUUGACUCUUCUUUCAAACACGUACAAAACUGUAAUAAAUCAUUCCAUGUAUCCUACACUUAAAUUAAUGUCUACCAAGCUCACCAAUGCUAACUUGCAUGAGUAAAGAAGUUUUCUCACCUAACAUGCAUUUCACCUAUAGUUCGCUUUUCGGGGCUGACCCCUGAGUUUCAAUCGGCAUCUUAUAACUAAACAUAGAAACGGUAAUUCUACAUAACACUGAUAAACUAACAUUUUGAAGUACGGUUAGAACAGUACAGAAUUGUAAUCAUGGAACUUUGUAUUCUUUACUUCAUUUAAAGUGUCUUCAAGUUUGUGUUGAAAUGUUUGACACACCAACCUUACAUCAUUUUGAUUAAUUCCAGGUGUUAGGAUGCCAUGAUGUCCCUGGUGCUGUUUCACCUUAAAGGUUUAAACUGUUCUAGAACUGUUUAACCCCAAAGUCUGUGUUCCAGCACUGAAUUUCCCUGCCUCUCUGUUUCUCAGUUUUUUAGCAAUCAAGACAGUAAGGCUCUCACAGAAUCAGGCAGCAGCGCUGCGGAUUUGUUAAGAGUGGUCAGCUGAUACUCUCAGCCAAUCAGUGACUCCCCAUUCAUUAAACUAGCUUGAAGGCAGUUUUAUAAAUGGGAAGUCGCUGAUUGGCUUUUAGCCAAUUGCAGCCUGAUUCUGCAAGAGCCUUACGGUCUCUUGAUUUUAACUUAAAUUGAUCAAAAUGAUGUAAAGUUGGUGUGUCAAAAAUUCAACACAAUCAACUUGAUCCGGUUUCCUG
rnacentral:lncRNA from 1 species